rnacentral:rRNA from 1 species
CUCCUACGGGAGGCAGCAGGAGGGAAUAUUGCGCAAUGGGCGAAAGCCUGACGCAGCAACGCCGCGUGAGGGAUGACGGCCUUCGGGUUGUAAACCUCUUUCAGUGGGGACGAAAUUGACGGUACCCACAGAAGAAGCACCGGCCAACUACGUGCCAGCAGCCGCGGUAAUACGUAGGGUGCAAGCAUUGUCCGGAUUUAUUGGGCGUAAAGAGCUCGUAGGCGGCUUAACAAGUCGGUCGUGAAAUACCGAGGCUCAACCUCGGGGAGUCGGUCGAAACUGUUAUGGCUAGAGUACGGUAGAGGAGAGUGGAAUUCCCGGUGUAGCGGUGGAAUGCGCAGAUAUCGGGAGGAACACCAGUAGCGAAGGCGGCUCUCUGGGCCGUUACUGACGCUGAGGAGCGAAAGCGUGGGGAGCAAACAGGAUUAGAUACCCUGGUAGUCCACGCUGUAAACGUUGGGAACUAGGUGUUGCGGUCUGAUCAAUGACUGCGGUGCCGAAGCUAACGCAUUAAGUUCCCCGCCUGGGGAGUACGGCCGCAAGGCUAAAACUCAAAGGAAUUGACGG